rnacentral:lncRNA from 1 species
AGCAACAGGCUUUGGUGGUGGGGGAGGUGGGGGUAAAGGGAAAAGUGCUGUGUAUGGCUUUUCAUAUGUUAAUAAGUUGAUUCCAUGACAACCAUUGAAAAAGAAGGGCUCGAAACAAAAGCCGCUGCGAGAGAGGAUCAGUGCUCUUUCAUGGGCGCUGUAAGAAUAACAGCCGAGACUCCCUCCGCUGAAAGAUUCAAAGCCAGGGUUGAGUCUUCCUAA